rnacentral:pre_miRNA from 1 species
UCCCCGUUUUGCACACUCUCUCGUCGGUCAGACAGACGAGAGAGUGUGUGAAAUGAGGAGA